rnacentral:rRNA from 1 species
UACGUAGGGGGCAAGCGUUGUCCGGAUUUAUUGGGCGUAAAGAGCGUGUAGGCGGUUUGGUAGGUCCGUUGUGAAAACUCGAGGCUCAACCUCGAGACGCCGAUGGAAACCAUCAGACUAGAGUCCGGAAGAGGAGAGUGGAAUUCCUGGUGUAGCGGUGAAAUGCGCAGAUAUCAGGAGGAACACCUGUGGCGAAAGCGGCGCACUGGACCACAACUGACGCUGAGGCGCGAAAGCUAGGGGAGCAAACAGG